CGUGUCGUUGACGUUAGCGACAGAAGAAGCACCGGCUAACUCCGUGCCAGCAGCCGCGGUAAUACGGAGGGUGCGAGCGUUAAUCGGAAUUACUGGGCGUAAAGCGCAUGCAGGUGGUUUGUUAAGUCAGAUGUGAAAGCCCGGGGCUCAACCUCGGAAUUGCAUUUGUAAACUGGCAGACUAGAGUACUGUAGAGGGGGGUAGGAAUUUCAGGUGUAGCGGUGAAAUGCGUAGAGAUCUGAAGGAAUACCGGUGGCGAAGGCGGCCCCCUGGACAGAUACUGACACUCAGAUGCGAAAGCGUGGGGAGCAAACAGGAUUAGAUACCCUGGUAG
rnacentral:rRNA from 1 species